CCGCCUCCCGGGUUCACGCCAUUCUCCUGGCUCAGGACUACAGGCGUCUACCACCACGCCCGGCUAAUUUUUUGUAUUUUUUAGUAGAGACGGGGUUUCACCGUGUUAGCCAGGAUGGUCUUGAUCUCCUGACCUCGUAAUCUGCCUGCCUCGGCCUCCCAAAGUGCUGGGAUUACAGGCGUGAGCCACCGCACCCGGCCUGUUUGUUACCUUUUAUUUUAUGGAGAAAAUUAGGGUCAUGAGAUGUGCUUUCCCUCACAUUUCUGCCUCUGCUUUCCCUUUUAAAGUCAUCAAGAUUUAUACCCUUUUCCUUUUGUCUCAGAGGAUGAAUUGUCUCUCUAAUCAGAGCAGUUUCUUUAUGUUUGCUUCUGAUAUUUUAUGCUGUCACUUAUGAGACCUUGUUUUCAUUUGUCAUUUCUGUUUCCAGUCGUGUAUAAACAAGGCCAGGUUUCUCAGAUCUCUGACACUUCCCGUUGCCGAAGAAAGAAAAACUCCUUGGUGGUCCAUUAUAACUUUAGCUGUCAUCCAAUAACUUUCUUUCUCUUUAUAUCCAAACUGUUUUAGUGAGUAUUCUGAACUCUGCCUCCAUUUCCUCACCUUUUGUUUCCUUCUGUAUCUAGCUCUCAGACCCAUCAUUCCCCUGAAAUUUCACCCCAAGGUCACCAGUGACUAUUGUCAAACCAGAUAAAAAUUUUUUGAUUAUUACUGGAUCUCUUUGCUGCUUUUGGAACUUGGUCAUCCCUUUACUCCCUUCUUCUUUGCUUUACGUGUCAGUGCUCUCAGAUGAUUUAUUCAACAAGUAUUGAUUGGGAUACAGAGAUGAACAAGACAGAUAAAUUGUUUUCUCUUAAGGAAUUUACAUUCUAGCUGUUCUCCAUGUGCCUUUCUUACCAGUCAUUUCUGCUAUGGGUAGUCAUUUUCCUCCUUCCCUAAAAUGUUGGGUGUUUCUGUUGUUUGUGACUUUGGCAUAUAAACAAUGAAAAACUGUUCUUUUUUUUUUUUUAGCUUGACCAAUUUUUUUUUUAUACUUUAAGUUCUGGGAUACAUGUGCAGAACGUGCAUGUUUGUUACAUAGGUGUAUACUAAGUGCCAUAGUGGUUUGCUGCACCCAUCAACCUGUCAUCUACAUUAGGUAUUUCUCCUAAUGCUAUCCCUCCCCUAGCCCCUCACCCCCUGACACGCCCCAGUGUGUGAUGUUCCCCUCCCUCUGCCCAUGUGUUCUCAUUGUUCAACUCCCACUUAUGAGUGAGAACAUGUGGUGUUUGGUUUUCUGUUCCUGUGUUAGUUUGCUGAGAAUGAUGGUUUCCAGCUUCAUCCAUGUCCCUGCAAAGGACAUGAACUCAUUCUUUUUUAUGGCUGUAUAAUAUUCCAUGGUAUAUAUGUGCCACAUUUUCUUUAUCCAGUCUAUCAUUGAUGGGCAUUUGGGUUGGUUCCAACUCUUUGCUAUUGUUAAUAGUGCUGCAAUAAACAUACAUGUGGAUGUGAAGCUUGACCAGUUUUUAUAAAAUGAUUAUACCUAUGUGACCACCAUCCAGAUUAGGUUACAGAUACAUAAUAUUACCAGCAUUCAGAAUGAAAACUGUUCUUUUCAUUCUGUACACAUUGCCUGAGUGAACCCAUCAGCUGGCUUGGUUUUAACUACCUCCUACAUGCCCCCAAAUUGAAAUUGUCAGCUUAGACCUCUCUGAGCUUUACCCUCACAUCUGACUAUCCUCCUGGACAGCUCUGCCUGCAAGUCCCACAGACACUUCAAAUUCAGAUGACUGAAACUGAACUCAGUGUCUUUCCUGGACUUAACUCUUAUCACAUUCAUCACUAAGUCCUGAUAGUUUUACCCCCUAAACAUCUCUCAAAUCUGUGCAGUCUUCUCCAUCUCUACUGUUGUCCUUUUACCUGCAAUAUCAUGGCCUUCUAACUGAUUUCCCUGCUUCUAGGCCUGUUCCCCCAUAUCUUUUCUUCACAUUACUCCCCUCCACCCCCAGAUGGUCUUUGGAAACAAGUCUGUAUCAAAUUCCUGCUUAAUCUUUAAAGAUCUGUCCAUGCAUUCAUCCAUUCUUUUCUCUAAUUCAUUCAGCAAACAUUCAUUGUCUACUGGCUUGCAAAAUCCAUUGAAAGUUCUAAAGUUUGAGCUUCUCAGCCAGGGCUCUGCCUGUUCUGAACCCUGCCUGUAUCUCCAGCCUCUUCUCUGCCUCAUGCUUUAGGUUCCAGCAACACUGAAUGGCAUCUUCAUGGGUACUGUGCUAUUUCUUCUUUGUGUACUUGCCCUUGUUCUCUUUGCUUGGAAUCUUCUCCCUGUUUCCUUUCUCCACCUCCUGCUCCUCACCUAAUUAGGCUGCUCCUUUUCACCUAAUUAACCCAGUUUAUAAAUGGGACUCAGUUAUAAAGUUUAGGUCCACCUCCUCCAGGAAAUUUUUUCCUGACACCUCCUUCCUCCCAAUCUCGGUUGGGUACUCUAGCAUUGUGCUUCCACCCUUUGCACAGAGCAAUCAUCAUGUUUACCACAUCUACUAUUAACAUAAUUGUUUGUGUUUUUCUCCUCCACAAGAUUUAUUUUUUUUAGAUGAGGUGUUGCUGUGUUGCCCAAGCUGGACUUGAACCCCUAGGCUCAAGCAAUCCUUCCACCUCAGUCUCCCAAGUAGCAGGGACUACAGAGUGAUGAUGCGGGUGUGCUGGUUGGUGAGACAGGACAGCCGGCACCAGCGAAUCAGACUUCCACAUUUGGAAGCAGUUGUGAUUGGGCGUGGCCCAGAGACCAAGAUCACUGAUAAGAAAUGUUCUCGACAGCAAGUACAGUUGAAAGCAGAGUGUAACAAGGGAUAUGUCAAGGUAAAGCAGAGUUUGAGGAAGAGGCAAAGAACCCUGGCCUGGAAACACACAGGAAGAGAAAGAGAUCAGGCAACAGUGAUUCUAUAGAAAGGGAUGCUGCUCAGGAAGCUGAGGCUGGGACAGGGCUGGAACCUGGGAGCAACUCUGGCCAAUGCUCUGUGCCCCUAAAGAAGGGAAAAGAUGCACCUAUCAAAAAGGAAUCCCUGGGCCACUGGAGUCAAGGCUUGAAGAUUUCUAUGCAGGACCCCAAAAUGCAGCCAUGUACAUCUUCAUGUGAUCAGCCAGGAUUUUGAUUCUCCUUGCCUUAAAAACAAAAAACAUUGGAAUUCUUUCAAUACAGAAUACUUCCUAGAAUCACAAGCUGUGAUCGAGAUGGUACAAGAGGCUGGUAGAGUAACUGUCCGAGAUGGGAUGCCUGAGCUCUUGAAGCUGCCCCUUCGUUGUCAUGAGUGCCAGCAGCUGCUGCCUUCCAUUCCUCAGCUGAAAGAACAUCUCAGGAAGCACUGGACACAGUGAUUCUGCAGAGCCUGAGCUGCUGCUGUGGUGUGGCCCACUGGAGCAAACUGCUGGCACCUAUUCUGGGUUGCUUGUGAACUUCUACUCAUUUCCUAAAUUAAAACAUGCAGCUUUUUCACAAAUUUAUUCUAUUAUUGAGUGGCCACAAUGUAGAGUGGCUCAAAGUACUUCAGGAUUAGGAAUUUGGGUUUGUCAUAGAUGUAUUCUCUGGUGAGGGUGGCUGGGAUAUACCUGACCCACCAUCUUCAGAAGGACCCAUGUCAGGUCUGACCAUUGGGAGCAAAGCCAUGUUCACACUGACCUAAUGCAGAGUAUGGAAGCAUUGGGCUGGUUAUACAUUUCUGUUUCUUAGAUUUAUCCUCCGCCUCUGUAGGCAUGGACAACCUUUAAUCAGAGCAUCUAGAGUGGCCUCUUGUUUAUCCUGAAGAUACUGAUGGGUCUUGUUUUCUGUUAGUCUGUUUUGUAAUAUUCUUUUCCCUUCCUUCAUGGGGAGGCUUAGUUUGUCCAGUCCUUCCAUGCCCUUCUAUCCCAGAUUACCUAAAUGUUCCCUUCUCAGGAAUUCUGUCUCAUCAGUUCUUCACAGUGAGAAAAGAGGCUAGAUGAUGGUGUGGGGGGUUGGAGUUUUCUUCUAAUACCGAGGGUUCCUGGCUGUGAGGAAACAGCCACAUGUUCGUCAUGAUUGAGCUGUGAAGUCUUCUUGGACCUGUUGUCUGAAAAUAAAGUUAAUUUGUUUGAGGCAUCUCUCUUAAGUAGGUGGAAACUAUUGAAGUUCAGCUAACAAUCACAGCAUAGGUUCUGAUGCAUGGAAAGGUGGUUGGUGAAUGAAAAAGUUGCGUAGAGCCACUACUUUCUUUUUCCCUGAGAAUAAAUUUGGAUAAAA
rnacentral:lncRNA from 1 species